rnacentral:rRNA from 1 species
ACGGCUCAGUAACACGUGGACAACCUACCCUGAGGUCGGGGAUAAACCCGGGAAACUGGGUAUAAUACCCGAUAGAUCUAGAUCGCUGGAAUGCUUUUAGGUCUAAAGUUCCGACGCCUCAGGAUGGGUCUGCGGCCUAUCAGGGUAGUAGUGGGUGUAAAGUACCUACUAGCCCACGACGGGUACGGGUUGUGAGAGCAAGAGCCCGGAGAUGGAUUCUGAGACACGAAUCCAGGCCCUACGGGGUGCAGCAGGCGCGAAACCUUUACAAUGCUGGCAACAGCGAUAAGGGGACCUCGAGUGCUACGAUACAAUCGUGGCUGUCUAGUUGCCUAAAAAGCAAUUGAUAGCAAGGGCCGGGCAAGACCGGUGCCGGCCGCCGCGGUAACACCGGCGGCUCGAGUGGUAACCGCUAUUAUUGGGUCUAAAGGGUCUGUAGCCGGCUUAGUUAGUCUCUUGAGAAAUCUGGCCGCUCAACGGUCAGGCGUUCAGGGGAUACUGCUAAAGCUCGAGACCGGGAGAGGUGAGAGGUACUUCAGGGGUAGGGGUGAAAUCUUGUAAUCCUUGAAGGACCACCAGUGGCGAAGGCGUCUCACCAGAACGGAUCUGACGGCAAGGGACGAAAGCUAGGGGCACGAACCGGAUUAGAUACCCGGGUAGUCCUAGCCGUAAACGAUACUCGCUAGGUGUCGGCCACGGUGCGACCGUGGUCGGUGCCGUAGGGAAGCCGUGAAGCGAGCCACCUGGGAAGUACGGCCGCAAGGCUGAAACUUAAAGGAAUUGGCGGGGGAGCAC